GCUUACGGCCAUACCAGCCCAAGAACGCCCGGACUCGUCUGAUCUCCGAAGCUAUGAAGGCUUGGGCCUGGUUAGUACUUGGAUGGGAGACCUCCUGGGAGUACCAGGUGCUGUAAGCU
ensembl:rRNA 5S_rRNA 5S ribosomal RNA